rnacentral:rRNA from 1 species
AUUGAACGCUGGCGGCAGGCUUAACACAUGCAAGUCGAGCGGGGGAAGGUAGCUUGCUACUGGACCUAGCGGCGGACGGGUGAGUAAUGCUUAGGAAUCUGCCUAUUAGUGGGGGACAACAUCUCGAAAGGGAUGCUAAUACCGCAUACGUCCUACGGGAGAAAGCAGGGGAUCUUCGGACCUUGCGCUAAUAGAUGAGCAUAAUUCGGAUUAGCUAGUUGGUGGGGUAAAGGCCUACCAAGGCGACGAUCUGUAGCGGGUCUGAGAGGAUGAUCCGCCACACUGGGACUGAGACACGGCCCAGACUCCUACGGGAGGCAGCAGUGGGGAAUAUUGGACAAUGGGGGGAACCCUGAUCCAGCCAUGCCGCGUGUGUGAAGAAGGCCUUAUGGUUGUAAAGCACUUUAAGCGAGGAGGAGGCUACUUUAGUUAAUACCUAGAGAUAGUGGACGUUACUCGCAGAAUAAGCACCGGCUAACUCUGUGCCAGCCGCCGCGGUAA